GUCUGAAGAAGCCUUAUCAACACAAACUCUAAGAGCUAUGGUAGGGCUGCUAUAGAGGACUUUAGUAGGCAGUUCUGUUAUGAUGUAAGUUGAAGGAGAAAUUUUAGCCUAUUGUCUCUGGGGUACUUUGCAUGAUGAACAAAGAGGCAUGUUCAAGGCUUAGUUCUUCAUUUCAAUUUUAGGAUUACAGGUACCUGAUAGCAUUAAUUCCCAUGUGUAGGAGAUCAGCAAGAAUCUACAGAUUUGAGUGUCUGGGGCAGAGAGGCUUUAUCAGAAUUCAGAUUAACAACUGCUCUGUUAAGAAAGAAGCCCUGCGAUGUGCAAACCCAGAGCAGCACAAGGAGCAGGUGAGAAUACAGCUUUCACAACAGUCUUCUGAACACCCAGACGAGUUGACUAAGGCUGUGAUCACUUUUCGGACAGGGAAGAAGUCUUGGGAUGUACCAUGGUAUCUAGUGAGAUCUCCCUCUCUGCCUGAAGGUAAAUGGGUCACGGCUGGGUGAGGAGUUUGGCUCCUUUUCCCACCGGUCUGACAGUUCUGUAACUGCUGCAUGCCAGCCCCCUCGCAUUCCCAGGCCUGCUCUUUCCUUAAAAGAAUACGUAAUUGGGUGAGGAGGGAAGGUUUUCAGACUCUCUCCUUCUCCUUUUUCGGGCAAACCCACAAGCUCUUGCAUUGAUCUUGAGCAUCUUGCCUGAGGAAAGCCAAGCUCACGUGUGGCACGGUGCAGGACAAGGAAGGGGAGCUGGAACCUCUUAGCAGCAGAUGAACUGCUUUAUGUUUUACAUUAAGUAAUGAAGGGCUAUAAACAAAUUAUAAUCAUUGUUGGAGGCUUUUGUGUGUUUCGGUUGAGGCUGGAUUCUCUCCAUAAGGGCAAGCACAGGCAAAAUACAGCAGCAGGAACAGACAGUCGUCACCGAAUCUGUCUGAGGGUGUGUCAAGCAGUGAGGCGAUGGGAGUAGCAGGAAAAAGCAGUAAGGAAACACUGAGGCUAGAACGCACUUGUGGGAUUAACCAGCUGGUAGCUGAACCUAUGUGCUUAUGGCUACAACCAUAGUGUGGGAUAGCUGCAACAGUUAGCUGAAUCUGUACUGAGUGAUUAAUAGAGAAUAGUCUGCGUAACAGCUUGGGAAUAUUUAUAUAACUGACAAUUCCUUAUAAAUAACCCCUAUUACUCUCAAAUACUAAGCUACCUUCCUUCAAGCCUAAUUGAAUGGACAUUAAAGAUGUUUAACUUAGUGUUUUCCCCAUAUAACUAGGGGAUAUUUUCAUCCUCUCAUUGUUUGGGGAGGCUGGAGGGGGAACUGAAUCAGCAUCUUCCACUUCUCCAAAGUGGUUUCUCUAGUUUAUAUAGUGUCUGGAGGCCAUAAAGAUUUUUCCCAGCAAAAAUGAAAGAGCUGUUGCUACAGCAAACAACUUGUUAAUUUUGCCUAUUUACUCAGGUCCUAGGAUACACUUUUAAAUAUGAAAGCAUGCGCUGCUUGUGAUGCAAGAGGUCACUAAUAAUGCUCAUACCCAUUAAUUACAAAUGUAUAAAUAAUAUGUAAUACAUCCUUGAUCUGGUAAUUGAACUGCAAUAAAAUAAAAAAACCCAAGAAGCCUGGUGUGAAA
rnacentral:lncRNA from 14 species